GGGCAUUUGGUCUAGUGGUAUGAUUCUCGCAUUGGGUGCGAGAAUUCUUGAGUUCAACUCUCGGAAUGCCUC
rnacentral:tRNA from 1 species